rnacentral:lncRNA from 1 species
GUUGAGUCUAAGAUUUUAGUGUCUACACUUCGUCUUACAUUUUCCAUUCUUUCCAUUUUCACAAGUCCUAUGAUACAGUUGAAAAUCUUUCCUACGUACUAGUAAAGCCAUAGGAACUUAAAAUUAUUAAGUGUCAAGCACAUAUGAAAAUCAGACAAUGGGAUUGCCACAGACCUUCAAUUUGUAAAAAAAAAAUGCAACAUCUG